CCUACGGGAGGCUGCAGUCGAGAAUCAUUCACAAUGGGGGAAACCCUGAUGCUGCGACGCCGCGUGGGGGAAUGCAGGUCUUCGGAUUGUAAACCCCUGUCACGUGGGAGCAAAUUAAUACGAUAGAACCACCAAUGGAAGUGACGGACAACUGUGCGCCAGCAGCCACGGUACUACAGAGGUCUUAAGUGUUGAUCGGAAUGACUUGGUGUAAAGCGUGUGUGGGUUGGUGCGUAAGUCGCGUGUGAAAAGCGCGGGGUCAAACCGCGGACGGCACAUGACACUGGGGGACUAGAGUGAUGGAGAGGGAACCGGAAGUCUCGGUGUAGCAGUGAAAUGCGUAGAUAUCGAGAAGAACCCUCGUGGCGAAGGCGGGUUCCUGGAGAUCAACUGACGCUGAGGCACGAAGGCCAGGGGAGCGAAAGGGAUUAGAUACCCUGGUAGUC
rnacentral:rRNA from 1 species